rnacentral:rRNA from 1 species
UGGGGAAUUUUGGACAAUGGGGGAAACCCUGAUCCAGCCAUCCCGCGUGUGCGAUGAAGGCCUUCGGGUUGUAAAGCACUUUUGGCAGGAAAGAAACGUCGCGGGUUAAUACCCCGCGAAACUGACGGUACCUGCAGAAUAAGCACCGGCUAACUACGUGCCAGCAGCCGCGGUAAUACGUAGGGUGCAAGCGUUAAUCGGAAUUACUGGGCGUAAAGCGUGCGCAGGCGGUUCGGGAAGAAAGAUGUGAAAUCCCAGAGCUUAACUUUGGAACUGCAUUUUUAACUACCGGGCUAGAGUGUGUCAGAGGGAGGUGGAAUUCCGCGUGUAGCAGUGAAAUGCGUAGAUAUGCGGAGGAACACCGAUGGCGAAGGCAGCCUCCUGGGAUAACACUGACGCUCAUGCACGAAAGCGUGGGGAGCAAACAGGAUUAGAUACCCUGGUAGUCCACGCCCUAAACGAUGUCAACUAGCUGUUGGGGCCUUCGGGCCUUGGUAGCGCAGCUAACGCGUGAAGUUGACCGCCUGGGGAGUACGGUCGCAAGAUUAAAACUCAAAUGAAUUGAC